GAGGGAAACAACGCGUGGAGCCUGAAGUUCAGAAGAUAGCUGGCAUACUAAAAGAAUAUCCACAGCUAAAGGAACUGAUGGAUGAAAGACAGACUAAAAAAGAAUUUCAUGAAAAGGUUGACAAAAUAUGAGAACAUUUGUAAAUACGCUUGUGAUGAACCCGAACCCGUAAUGAGACGAAUAUUAAAGAGGAGCAUACCAGAUGACUAUAUAUGCAGUUCCAUCGAGGACCUACAAAUAACAUCACAUCAAAAUAACAGACAAUUUCGACGAGUUUCUAGAAAAAAAACUUAAUAUUAUCAACGAAACGGAUAAUUUAUUGACGGAAGAAAUAAUUAAAUGAAAAAGGAACUAAAAGAAGCAGCUUGUCGAUAUACGGUCGGACAAUGUACGAUGUACUUAGCUUAGAAGAUGAAUUCAACAAUUUCGUAAAGAAAUGAACUCAACUGUUAUAAAAGAACUCAUAUAUCAAGUUAAAGAAGAGGGCUGCAAAUAGAUUCUAAGCUGCUACAACUACAACGGUUGAUCGAAGAUUACGGAAAUUACUGCAAAAAUUGUAGUUCAGGUAAAUGUUUUUUAGAGAUCUAGAACUGUAAAUAAGUCAUUCAUUUUAUAGAAAUAUAUAAGUGGUAAAAUUUCCAUUUUAAAAUUAAAACAUCCUACAUGCUGUUAUUUCCGUUUGUUCUUCAGGACAGUUAGACGUGUUCUACGACAAAAAAUGUAAAUGAUGGUGGAGAGGGAGACAUUACAGACUCUAUUCCUAUUUUGGACGAACUGAUUCAAGAUAAAUAUAAUGAAGUAAACGUUACGACGCAUGAAAUCAUCGACGAAAUCUUCAAGAACUAACAGAUUUAAUAAGUGACCCCGAGAGAAACGAAAAAUAUUUGUCUGAUAUAAAAUCUUUGCAAAAAAUAUUGUAGAUGCUUGGAACAUUGAAAGAGAGGGGCUAGAGAACUUGAAAAGCAUUGCACCCCCGGCGUCUUUGAAACAACUGUCGGAUAUACUUUCAGAUUCGAAGGAACUUCAGAAAAUUAUAGACGAUAAGAUAAAACAUUUAGAAGAAAUACUGAAUAAAAAAUAAGCAUUAGUCCCACCAUAGAACUAUAUUUCAAAGUAUGUUAGAACGAUAUAUUGAAUUGUUUAUUGGAACAAUAAAAUUUCGAAAUCACUUUGUC